UACGUAGGGGGCAAGCGUUGUCCGGAAUCAUUGGGCGUAAAGAGCGUGUAGGCGGCCUGAUAAGUCUGCUGUCAAAGAGCAAAGCUCAACUUUGUAAAGGCAGUGGAAACUACACGGCUAGAGUGCGUUCGGGGCAGAGGGAAUUCCUGGUGUAGCGGUGAAAUGCGUAGAGAUCAGGAAGAACACCGGUGGCGAAGGCGCUCUGCUAGGCCGCAACUGACACUGAGGGACGAAAGCUAGGGGAGCGAAUGGG
rnacentral:rRNA from 1 species